rnacentral:misc_RNA from 1 species
AAAGCAUAACUCAUUUUUAUGAUCAUUUCCAUCUACCAGCGUUUUCGCUGAGAGCGGCUUGGAGAGAAAAAUAAUCAUGUCACUCUCCUGUUAGACCUGACACAGUGGCCCUGCACCGUCUAUCAACAAUAUUUAUUACCCAACUGACUGUAACCCACAUCUUACACCGCUAGAGAUGUUCUGAUACCAGCAUCCUCAAUGCCCCUGAAACUGCCA